GGCGCACGGGUGCGUAACACGUAUGCAACCUACCUUACAUUGGGGGAUAGCCUUUCGAAAGGGAGAUUAAUACCGCAUAAGACAGUAGCUGGGCAUCCAGCAGCUGUUAAAGAUUUAUCGAUGUAAGAUGGGCAUGCGUCCAAUUAGUUANUUGGCGAGGUAGCGGCUCACCAAGACUUUGAUUGGUAGGGGAACUGAGAGGUCAAUCCCCCACACUGGCACUGAGAUACGGGCCAGACUCCUACGGGAGGCAGCAGUAGGGAAUAUUGGGCAAUGGACGCAAGUCUGACCCAGCCAUGCCGCGUGCAGGAUGAAGGCGUUAUGCGUUGUAAACUGCUUUUAUACAGGAAGAAACGACUCUUGCGAGAGGCAUUGACGGUACUGUAUGAAUAAGCACCGGCUAACUCCGUGCCAGCAGCCGCGGUAAUACGGAGGGUGCAAGCGUUGUCCGGAUUUAUUGGGUUUAAAGGGUGCGCAGGUGGUUUAUUAAGUCAGUGGUGAAAGACGGUCGCUCAACGAUUGCAGUGCCAUUGAAACUGGUAGACUUGAGUAAAGUAGAGGUGGGCGGAAUUGAUAGUGUAGCGGUGAAAUGCAUAGAUAUUAUCAAGAACUCCAAUUGCGUAGGCAGCUCACUUGGCUUUUACUGACACUCAUGCACGAAAGUGUGGGUAUCAAACAGGAUUAGAUACCCUGGUAGUCCACACUGUAAACGAUGAUAACUAGGUGUCGGCCGAAUCUGGUCGGUGCCACAGCGAAAGCGUUAAG
rnacentral:rRNA from 1 species